AUCUGAAAAUGGAUGAGAUCGAGUGGGAUUUCCAUAGUAAACUGACGCUGUUGGAGCGCAGGCUGGAAGCGGAGAGCGGGAGGAGAGUGGAGAUGGAGAAAUGCCAGAGAGAGAUCGAGAAUCUGCAGGAGGAACUGGUGAAGAGCCCUCCAUGGAUCUGUGUUUCCCCCUGUCCCCCAUUAAGUCGAAAACUCACCCCACGACGAGAUAUACCCUCUUAC